AGUGAACGCUGGCGGCGUGCCUAAUACAUGCAAGUCGAACGGCGUGGCGCACGGGUGAGUAAUAUAUAGCUAAUCUGCCCCGUGCUGGAGGACAACAGUUAGAAAUGACUGCUAAUACUCCAUAGCAAGGGAUGAGACUAUAUCGUAUCAGCUAGUCGGUGGGGUAACGGCCUACCGAGGCUAUGACGCGUAACUGGUCUGAGAGGAUGAGCAGUCACAUUGGAACUGAGACACGGUCCAAACUCCUACGAGAGGGAGCAGUAGGGAAUAUUGCGCAAGGGGGGAGACCCUGACGCAGCAACGCGGCGUGGAGGAUGAUACUUUUCGGAGCGUACACUCCUUUUAUUAGGGAAGCGGUACCUAACGAAUAAGCACCGGCUAACUCCGUGCCAGCAGCCGCGGUAAUUC
rnacentral:rRNA from 1 species